rnacentral:rRNA from 1 species
UACGUAGGGGGCAAGCGUUGUCCGGAAUCAUUGGGCGUAAAGAGCGUGUAGGCGGUUCGGUAAGUCUGCUGUGAAAGUCCAGGGCUCAACCCUGGGAUGCCGGUGGAUACUGUCGGACUAGAGUACGGAAGAGGCGAGUGGAAUUCCCGGUGUAGCGGUGAAAUGCGCAGAUAUCGGGAGGAACACCAAUUGCGAAGGCAGCUCGCUGGGACGUCACUGACGCUGAGACGCGAAAGCGUGGGGAGCAAACAGG